CUGAUGAGACGUGAAAGCAAACCUGCCGUGAACAGCAACGAGGACACGAGAUGACCAUCUGGCGAGGGGUUUGUCAUUUGGGCAUCAAGUAGCCUCAAGUCCAGGGCUACUCUUACCUGAGUCACGAAUGAAAUCAGUCAGGCUUGAAAGAGCAGGGCUUGUGCUGUCUGCCGCAGAUUUGGAGAUCAACAUGCUGCACAACAAAAUGAAAAGCGUAAAGCAUGCAGGCUUAUUAGACCUUCACUUCUCUCUGAAGUAAUACUGGAGCUGCAAGCAGACCAUUAAAGCUUUAUUGGGAUGGGGUUCGAAACUAUUGUGCAAUUAUCGGCCACAUCAAAACACAGAGGCAGUGUUGGAUUCCCUGCGAGGUCGAGACUGAGGCGAUGCUGGUCAUGGAUUUAGCUGCUAAUUUCUAUUUAUUUUUCGUGUUGGUUGAGAUGGGAGAUUACGCUUGUUUGUUUACUGUUUUGUAAAGACAAACUUUAUUUCUAUCAUUGAUGGAUGCACUGCAGAAUAUGAGAGCUAAAUUGAUAUAAGGAACUGUUGAUAAUGCACAGUCCGUGAUACCAUCACAACAUGCCUGUAAACCCAAGGUUAUAGAUUUUAUGGAUCAUGUCUUAAAGUUAAUGUAUACCCAAAAAUAAAAAUUCUGUCAUUAUUGACUUAUCAAAA